UUGGAGGAAAGCAGGGGAUCGUAAGACCUUGCGCUUUUGGAGUGGCCGAUGCCUGAUUAGCUAGUUGGUGGGGUAAGAGCCUACCAAGGCGACGAUCAGUAGUUGGUCUGAGAGGACGACCAGCCACACUGGGACUGAGACACGGCCCAGACUCCUACGGGAGGCAGCAGUGGGGAAUUUCGGACAAUGGGCGGAAGCCUGAUCCAGCAAUGCCGCGUGAGUGAAGAAGGCCUUCGGGUUGUAAAGCUCUUUCAGUCGAGAAGAAAAGGUUGCGACUAAUAAUCGCAACUUAUGACGGUAUCGACAGAAGAAGCACCGGCUAACUACGUGCCAGCAGCCGCGGUAAUACGUAGGGUGCGAGCGUUAAUCGGAAUUACUGGGCGUAAAGGGUGCGCAGGCGGCUCUGUAAGUCAGAUGUGA
rnacentral:rRNA from 1 species